GGGUUGUGAGGUUAAGCGACUAAGCGUACACGGUGGAUGCCCUGGCAGUCAGAGGCGAUGAAGGACGUGCUAAUCUGCGAUAAGCGUCGGUAAGGUGAUAUGAACCGUUAUAACCGGCGAUUUCCGAAUGGGGAAACCCAGUGUGUUUCGACACACUAUCAUUAACUGAAUCCAUAGGUUAAUGAGGCGAACCGGGGGAACUGAAACAUCUAAGUACCCCGAGGAAAAGAAAUCAACCGAGAUUCCCCCAGUAGCGGCGAGCGAACGGGGAGCAGCCCAGAGCCUGAAUCAGUGUGUGUGUUAGUGGAAGCGUCUGGAAAGGCGUGCGAUACAGGGUGACAGCCCCGUACACAAAAAUGCACAUGCUGUGAGCUCGAUGAGUAGGGCGGGACACGUGGUAUCCUGUCUGAAUAUGGGGGGACCAUCCUCCAAGGCUAAAUACUCCUGACUGACCGAUAGUGAACCAGUACCGUGAGGGAAAGGCGAAAAGAACCCCGGCGAGGGGAGUGAAAAAGAACCUGAAACCGUGUACGUACAAGCAGUGGGAGCACGCUUAGGCGUGUGACUGCGUACCUUUUGUAUAAUGGGUCAGCGACUUAUAUUCUGUAGCAAGGUUAACCGAAUAGGGGAGCCGAAGGGAAACCGAGUCUUAACUGGGCGUUAAGUUGCAGGGUAUAGACCCGAAACCCGGUGAUCUAGCCAUGGGCAGGUUGAAGGUUGGGUAACACUAACUGGAGGACCGAACCGACUAAUGUUGAAAAAUUAGCGGAUGACUUGUGGCUGGGGGUGAAAGGCCAAUCAAACCGGGAGAUAGCUGGUUCUCCCCGAAAGCUAUUUAGGUAGCGCCUCGUGAAUUCAUCUCCGGGGGUAGAGCACUGUUUCGGCAAGGGGGUCAUCCCGACUUACCAACCCGAUGCAAACUGCGAAUACCGGAGAAUGUUAUCACGGGAGACACACGGCGGGUGCUAACGUCCGUCGUGAAGAGGGAAACAACCCAGACCGCCAGCUAAGGUCCCAAAGUCAUGGUUAAGUGGGAAACGAUGUGGGAAGGCCCAGACAGCCAGGAUGUUGGCUUAGAAGCAGCCAUCAUUUAAAGAAAGCGUAAUAGCUCACUGGUCGAGUCGGCCUGCGCGGAAGAUGUAACGGGGCUAAACCAUGCACCGAAGCUGCGGCAGCGACGCUGAUGCGUUGUUGGGUAGGGGAGCGUUCUGUAAGCCUGCGAAGGUGUGCUGUGAGGCAUGCUGGAGGUAUCAGAAGUGCGAAUGCUGACAUAAGUAACGAUAAAGCGGGUGAAAAGCCCGCUCGCCGGAAGACCAAGGGUUCCUGUCCAACGUUAAUCGGGGCAGGGUGAGUCGACCCCUAAGGCGAGGCCGAAAGGCGUAGUCGAUGGGAAACAGGUUAAUAUUCCUGUACUUGGUGUUACUGCGAAGGGGGGACGGAGAAGGCUAUGUUGGCCGGGCGACGGUUGUCCCGGUUUAAGCGUGUAGGCUGGUUUUCCAGGCAAAUCCGGAAAAUCAAGGCUGAGGCGUGAUGACGAGGCACUACGGUGCUGAAGCAACAAAUGCCCUGCUUCCAGGAAAAGCCUCUAAGCAUCAGGUAACAUCAAAUCGUACCCCAAACCGACACAGGUGGUCAGGUAGAGAAUACCAAGGCGCUUGAGAGAACUCGGGUGAAGGAACUAGGCAAAAUGGUGCCGUAACUUCGGGAGAAGGCACGCUGAUAUGUAGGUGAAGUCCCUCGCGGAUGGAGCUGAAAUCAGUCGAAGAUACCAGCUGGCUGCAACUGUUUAUUAAAAACACAGCACUGUGCAAACACGAAAGUGGACGUAUACGGUGUGACGCCUGCCCGGUGCCGGAAGGUUAAUUGAUGGGGUCAGCGCAAGCGAAGCUCUUGAUCGAAGCCCCGGUAAACGGCGGCCGUAACUAUAACGGUCCUAAGGUAGCGAAAUUCCUUGUCGGGUAAGUUCCGACCUGCACGAAUGGCGUAAUGAUGGCCAGGCUGUCUCCACCCGAGACUCAGUGAAAUUGAACUCGCUGUGAAGAUGCAGUGUACCCGCGGCAAGACGGAAAGACCCCGUGAACCUUUACUAUAGCUUGACACUGAACAUUGAGCCUUGAUGUGUAGGAUAGGUGGGAGGCUUUGAAGUGUGGACGCCAGUCUGCAUGGAGCCGACCUUGAAAUACCACCCUUUAAUGUUUGAUGUUCUAACGUGGACCCGUGAUCCGGGUUGCGGACAGUGUCUGGUGGGUAGUUUGACUGGGGCGGUCUCCUCCUAAAGAGUAACGGAGGAGCACGAAGGUUGGCUAAUCCUGGUCGGACAUCAGGAGGUUAGUGCAAUGGCAUAAGCCAGCUUGACUGCGAGCGUGACGGCGCGAGCAGGUGCGAAAGCAGGUCAUAGUGAUCCGGUGGUUCUGAAUGGAAGGGCCAUCGCUCAACGGAUAAAAGGUACUCCGGGGAUAACAGGCUGAUACCGCCCAAGAGUUCAUAUCGACGGCGGUGUUUGGCACCUCGAUGUCGGCUCAUCACAUCCUGGGGCUGAAGUAGGUCCCAAGGGUAUGGCUGUUCGCCAUUUAAAGUGGUACGCGAGCUGGGUUUAGAACGUCGUGAGACAGUUCGGUCCCUAUCUGCCGUGGGCGCUGGAGAACUGAGGGGGGCUGCUCCUAGUACGAGAGGACCGGAGUGGACGCAUCACUGGUGUUCGGGUUGUCAUGCCAAUGGCACUGCCCGGUAGCUAAAUGCGGAAGAGAUAAGUGCUGAAAGCAUCUAAGCACGAAACUUGCCCCGAGAUGAGUUCUCCCUGACUCCUUGAGAGUCCUGAAGGAACGUUGAAGACGACGACGUUGAUAGGCCGGGUGUGUAAGCGCAGCGAUGCGUUGAGCUAACCGGUACUAAUGAACCGUGAGGCUUAACCUUACAACGCCGAAGGUGUUU
rnacentral:rRNA from 1 species